rnacentral:rRNA from 1 species
GGGCUUGACAUCCCACGAACCUGCCAGAGAUGGCUUGGUGCUCGAAAAAGAGCCUGAACACAGGUACUGCAUGACUGUCAUCAGCUCGCGUCGUGAGAUGUUGGGUUAAGUCCCGCAACGAGCGCAACCCUUGUCAUUAGUUGCCAUCAUUAAGUUGGGCACUCUAAUGAGACUGCCGGUGACAAACCGGAGGAAGGUGGGGAUGACGUCAAGUCAGCAUGGCCUUUAUGUCUGGGGCUACACACGUGCUACAAUGGCCGGUACAAAGCGUCGCGAGCCCGCGAGGGGGAGCUAAUCGCAGAAAACCGGUCUCAGUUCGGAUUGCAGGCUGCAACCCGCCUGCAUGAAGUCGGAGUCGCUAGUAAUCGCGGAUCAGCAUGCCGCGGUGAAUACGUUCCCGGGCCUUGUACACACCGCCCGUCACAUCACGAAAGUGGGCUGUACUCGAAGUCGCUGAG